UUUUAAUAUUUAAAAAAUGCUGUUUUUGUGCAGCAGUUCUUAUUAAAUCACAUGCUGUUUGAUUUAUUUGAAACAGAUAAUAAAGGAGGAUACUGUGGGUGUUGGAGAGGACCCACUGAAAAAUGUGAGUGCACGAAAGGAUCUCACAGAUGAACAUGUGGCCCCUGACACUCCAGCCACCUCUUCUGCACCAGUCUCACCUCCAGCUGAGGCUCAGACGAAUAAAUCAAAGAAGGCUUCCUGGUGGCGCAGAUGGCUUUUUUUGUGAGAAAAAGUCAAAGGUUUUUCCCAAAAAUGAAGACAAGGCAGAAGACACGGUCGUGCCACCUUCUGAACCCCAACAGAGUACCAUCAGCACUGAAAAAUGUGAAGUCAAGGACGUUGGUGUCCAGACAGAGGUUUCCUGCCCUCCCAACUCGCUGCUGUUUUUCUGCACGAAAAAGGUGACCUUAGAUGAUGAGCCGCGUUGUCCUGAAGUCAAUGAGAGAGAUGAGCCAGUUUCCAGGCCGUGUACCCCAGCAGGUCACGGUGGUAGCCAGGGAGCCAUGCUAAGAGACCACGUCACACACUGCUGACUAACAUACGAUGAUGAGUUCGUCAAUGAUGAGCAGUGGCAGAGAACAGCUUACCUGCUGUUCUAUGAAAAACAGGUGAUUUCUCCCAUCAAACAGCUGGAUUGUAAAUGGUAAAUGGCCUGUAUUUGUAUAGUGCUUUACUAGUCCCUAAGGACCCCAAAGCGCUUUAUACCCAUCCAUUCACACACACAUUCACACACUGGUGAUGGCAAGCUACAUUGUAGCCUCAGCCACCCUGGGGCGCACUGACAGAGGCGAGGCUGCCGAACACUGGCGCCACCGGGCCCUCUGACCCUGGAUUGUGUUGGAUACUGUCGUUUAUAUAAGAUUUUAUUGUAAUGUAUAGUAUAUAAGACUUUUAUUUUAUUUGUAUCUUUUUAUGUUUAUGUUGUUUAGUGUACACCGAGGGCCGUGGGAGCGUUGCAAUUACAAAUUCUUGUGUAUGACCUGUCCAUAUGUUUUUUUGACAAAAAGAUGACUUUGAAUUUGAGCAUGUCCAUGCA
ensembl:lncRNA